AACGAACGCUGGCGGCAUGCCUAACACAUGCAAGUCGAACGAGACCUUCGGGUCUAGUGGCGCACGGGUGCGUAACGCGUGGGAACCUGCCCUUAGGUUCGGAAUAACUCCCCGAAAGGGGUGCUAAUACCGGAUAAUGUCUUCGGACCAAAGAUUUAUCGCAUUUGGAUGGGCCCGCGUUGGAUUAGCUAGUUGGUAGGGUAAAAGCCUACCAAGGCGACGAUCCAUAGCUGGUCUGAGAGGAUGAUCAGCCACACUGGGACUGAGACACGGCCCAGACUCCUACGGGAGGCAGCAGUGGGGAAUGUUGGACAGUGGGCGAAAGCCUGAUCCAGCAAUGCCGCGUGAGUGAUGAAGGCCGUAGGGUUGUAAAGCUCUUUUACCCGGGAUGAUAAUGACAGUACCGGGAGAAUAAGCUCCGGCUAACUCCGUG
rnacentral:rRNA from 1 species